AGGAAAGCCGGGUCGAGGACCGUGGUACCUCAAGGAGGGGCUCAUGUCCUAUCAGCUUGUUGGUGGGGUAACGGCCUACCAAGGCUACGACGGGUAGCUGGUCUCGAGAGGAUGAUCAGCCACACUGGCACUGAGAUACGGGCCAGACUCCUACGGGAGGCAGCAGUGAGGAAUAUUGCGGCAAGUGGGCGAAAGCCUGACGCAGCGACGCCGCGUGGGGGAUGAAGGUUUUCGGAUUGUAAACCCCUUUCAUGAGGAAAGAUAAAGUGGGUAACCACUUAGACGGUACCUCAAGAAGAAGCCACGGCUAACUUCGUG
rnacentral:rRNA from 1 species